rnacentral:rRNA from 1 species
AGCGAACGUUAGCGGCGGGCCUAACACAUGCAAGUCGAGCGAGAAAGGGGCUUCGGCCCUGAGUAAAGCGGCGGACGGGUGAGUAACACGUAGGUAAUCUUCCCUUGAGCGGGGGACAACGGUCCGAAAGGACCGCUAAUACCGCAUACGUUUCCAGGGAUCCUGGUCCUUGGAAGGAAAGCUAGGCCGCAAGGUCCGGCACUCGAGGAGGAGCCUGCGUCGCAUCAGCUAGUUGGUGGGGUAAUGGCCUACCAAGGCGAAGACGCGUGGCUGGUCUGAGAGGAUGAUCAGCCACACUGGGACUGAGACACGGCCCAGACUCCUACGGGAGGCAGCAGUGGGGAAUAUUGGACAAUGGGGGAAACCCUGAUCCAGCGACGCCGCGUGUGUGAAGAAGGCCUGCGGGGUUGUAAAGCACUUUC